rnacentral:rRNA from 1 species
GUCCUUAGUUACCAGCACGUUAUGGUGGGCACUCUAAAGAGACUGCCGGUGGACAAACCGGAGGAAGGUGGGGAUGACGUCAAGUCAUCAUGGCCCUUACGGCCUGGGCUACACACGUGCUACAAUGGUCGGUACAAAGGGUUGCCAAGCCGCGAGGUGGAGCUAAUCCCAUAAAACCGAUCGUAGUCCGGAUCGCAGUCUGCAACUCGACUGCGUGAAGUCGGAAUCGCUAGUAAUCGUGAAUCAGAAUGUCACGGUGAAUACGUUCCCGGGCCUU